AUGCCUAAAGGAAAGAAGGCCAAGGGAAAGAAGGUGGCCUUGGCCCCUGCCAUCCUCAAGAAACAGGUAGGCCAAAUAUGUGCUCAAACUUUUGUUUAAGAAUAGGCACAAGAACUUUGACAUUGGGCAGGACAUCCAGCCCAAAGGAAAUCUAACACACUUCUUCAAAUGGCCCCACUUACAUCAGGCUGCAGUGGCAAUGAGCCAUCCUCUAUAAGCCACUCAUAGUACCUCCUGCCAUUAACCAGUUCACCCAGGCCCUGGACAGGCAAACAGCUACUCAGCUGCUUAAGCUUGCCUACAAGUACAGCUCAGAGACAAAGCAAGAGAAGAAGCAAAGGCUACUGGCCCGUGCUGAGAAGAAAGCUGCUGGCAAAGGGGACAUCUUAACUGCUGAUUUCCAAGCAGGAGUCAGUGAUUGCCAAUGAUGUAGACCACAUUGAGCUGGUUGUUUUCCUGCCUGCCCUGUGUUGAAAGAUGGGAGUGGGUGCAAUUCUGCAUCAUCAAGGGAAAAGCUAGGCUGGGAUGCCUGGUCCACAGGAAGACAUGCAGCACUGUUGCCUUCACACAGGUUAACUCCGAUGACAAGGGUGCUCUGGCUAAGCUGGUAGGAAGCAACAUCCUAGGGCCUAAGUCUGUGGCUCUCAUUGCCAAGCUGGAAAAGGCAAAGGCUAA
rnacentral:lncRNA from 1 species